rnacentral:rRNA from 1 species
UACGGGGGGGGCAAGCGUUGUCCGGAUUUACUGGGCGUAAAGAGCGCGCAGGCGGUCGUACAAGUCGCGUGUGAAAGCCCCCGGCUCAACUGGGGAGGGUCACGCGAUACUGUUCGACUCGAAGGCAGGAGAGGGUAGUGGAAUUCCCGGUGUAGUGGUGAGAUGCGUAGAUAUCGGGAGGAACACCAGUGGCGAAGGCGACUACCUGGCCUGUUCUUGACGCUGAGGCGCGAAAGCUAGGGUAGCAAACGGG